rnacentral:pre_miRNA from 1 species
UCAUACAGAUUAGCAAAGGAAGUGGUUUCUUGAGAUGGGACCUAUUCCUGGUGAAGAUGCUGUGAA